rnacentral:rRNA from 1 species
UACGUAGGGUGCAAGCGUUGUCCGGAAUUAUUGGGCGUAAAGAGCUCGUAGGCGGUUUGUCGCGUCUGCUGUGAAAAUCCAGGGCUUAACCCUGGACCUGCAGUGGGUACGGGCAGACUAGAGUGCGGUAGGGGAGAUCGGAAUUCCUGGUGUAGCGGUGAAAUGCGCAGAUAUCAGGAGGAACACCGGUGGCGAAGGCG